rnacentral:rRNA from 1 species
CCUACGGGAGGCAGCAGUGAGGAAUAUUGGUCAAUGGACGAGAGUCUGAACCAGCCAAGUAGCGUGAAGGAUGACUGCCCUAUGGGUUGUACACUUCUUUUAUAAAGGAAUAAAGCGAGGCACGUGUGCCUUUUUGCAUGUACUUUAUGAAUAAGGAUCGGCUAACUCCGUGCCAGCCUCCGCGUUAAUACGGAGGAUACGAGCGUUCUCCGUAUUUAUUGGGUUUACAGUGAGCGUAGAUGGGUUGUUAAGUCAGUUGUGAAAUUUUGCGGCUCAACCGUAAAAUUGCAAUUGAUACUGGCAGUCUUGAGUACAGUUGAGGUAGGCGGAAUUCGUGGUGUAGCGGUGAAAUGCUUAGAUAUCACGAAGAACCCCGAUUGCGAAGGCAGCUUACUAAACUGUGACUGACAUUGAUGCUCGAAAGUGUGGGUAUCAAACAGGAUUAGAUACCCCAGUAGUC